rnacentral:rRNA from 1 species
GACGAACGCUGGCGGCGUGCUUAACACAUGCAAGUCGAACGGAAAGGCCCUGCUUUUGUGGGGUGCUCGAGUGGCGAACGGGGGAGUAACACGUGAGUAACCUGCCCCUGACUUUGGGAUAACUCCAGGAAACUGGGGAUAAUACCGGAUAGGAGCUCUUGCUGCACGGGGGGGGUUGGAAAGUGUCGGCGGUGGGGGCUGGACUCGCGGCUUAUGAGCUGGUUGGUGGGGUAGUUGCUUACCAAGUCUUUGAAGGCUAGCCUGCCUGAGAGGGUGAACGGCCACCUUGCGACUGCGAGACGGCCCAGACUCCAACGGGACGCAGCAGUCGGGAAUAUUGCACAAUGGGCGGAAGCCUGAUACAGCAGCGUCGCGUGCGUGAUGACCGCCUUCGGGUUGUAAACCGCUUUCGCCUGUGACGAAGCCUGCUUGACGGUAAUGGGUCAAGAAGCACCGGCUAACUACGUG